AAUCCCAGCACAAGAACUGUUAGCUACAUCACAAUCCAACAUCACCAUCUAAUUAUCCAAGCUGGAAGCCAGUAAUAAUUAUGCAAGCAGAUGCACGGCAUGCGAACUGCUGCAAAUAACACCUUC